rnacentral:ncRNA from 1 species
CUGAUAAAGGCGUCUGGGUGGAAAUCGGAGUUGAUCGCCCAAUACCCCUAGUGUCGAAAGAGAUAUACAAGCCGGGGCAACGCCUAAAUGUCAG